AAGAUAAUGGCUAAUACUUAUUGAGCACUAUUAUAUUCCAGGUUCUAUGCUAAGUGCUUGAUGUGUAUUACCUCAGACAGCCCAUUCACAGGACAUCUACACAAGGACCUGAGUCCUGAAGGAGCUGGACUUUCAGUUUGUAGGAUGUGAUUGGUCUGUAGGUCUGUUGUCCAAGUCUUCUUCCUGUGGUGGCCCAGCUGCCGGUCUCACACAGAUUAGAGCCUGUUCUCCAUAUCCUCGGCUGCCCACUGACAUCCUGCUUCACACCAAACAGCCGCUCUGGAUGCAUCUUAAUGUGAGCACUUCCCCUCCUCCCCUCUGAGAAGGGAGCCUGGCAGCUCUCCACUCUGGCGCAGAGUGAGCCUCAGGCUCCAGCACCCUCGCGGUGCAGUCCUUUGCUCUGCUGUCCAUCCUUCAUGAGACCUGCCCUGAGACAGGUGAGCUUCCAUCUGGCCCCGAGGUGUCAUGUGGCUGAGUCUCAAUUCUGCUUCAGAAUAAAUGUAAGAACCUAGACAGUUUGCUUAACUUGUUUGAUCCGUGAUAGAUUUGAUAGGUUACUUACCAUCUAAAUAAUCUGAUCUGCUUCAUAAGCUAGAUGUGGAAUAAAGUAUGUGAAAUGCCUUUUGGGUGGUGUAUGGUAGGGCGCU